rnacentral:rRNA from 1 species
GAGCAGGUGCGAAAGCAGGUCAUAGUGAUCCGGUGGUUCUGAAUGGAAGGGCCAUCGCUCAACGGAUAAAAGGUACUCCGGGGAUAACAGGCUGAUACCGCCCAAGAGUUCAUAUCGACGGCGGUGUUUGGCACCUCGAUGUCGGCUCAUCACAUCCUGGGGCUGAAGUAGGUCCCAAGGGUAUGGCUGUUCGCCAUUUAAAGUGGUACGCGAGCUGGGUUUAGAACGUCGUGAGACAGUUCGGUCCCUAUCUGCCGUGGGCGCUGGAGAACUGAGGGGGGCUGCUCCUAGUACGAGAGGACCGGAGUGGACGCAUCACUGGUGUUCGGGUUGUCAUGCCAAUGGCACUGCCCGGUAGCUAAAUGCGGAAGAGAUAAGUGCUGAAAGCAUCUAAGCACGAAACUUGCCCCGA